rnacentral:rRNA from 1 species
GGUUGAUCCUGCCGGACCCGACUGCUAUCAGAAUAGGACUAAGCCAUGCGAGUCAACGUAGCAAUACGUGGCAUACGGCUCAGUAACACGUAGUCAACAUGCCCAGAGGACGUGGAUAACCUCGGGAAACUGAGGAUAAACCGCGAUAGGUCAUAAUAUCUGGAAUGAUUUAUGGUUUAAAUCUAUAUGGCCUCUGGAUUGGACUGCGGCCGAUCAGGCUGUUGGUGAGGUAAUGGCCCACCAAACCUAAAACCGGUACGGGCUCUGAGAGGAGAAGCCCGGAGAUGGGCACUGAGACAAGGGCCCAGGCCCUAUGGGGCGCAGCAGGCGCGAAAACUCUGCAAUAAGCGAAAGCUUGACAGGGUUAUUCUGAGUGAUUUCCGCUAAGGAAAUCUUUUGGCACCUCUAAAAAUGGCGCAGAAUAAGGGGUGGGCAAGCCUGGUGUCAGCCGCCGCGGUAAUACCAGCACCCCGAGUGGUCGGGACGAUUAUUGGGCCUAAAGCAUCCGUAGCCGGUUCUACAAGUCUUCCGUUAAAUCCACCUGCUUAACUGAUGGGCUGCGGAGGAUACUAUGGAGCUAGGAGGCGGGAGAGGCAAGCGGUACUUAGUGGGUAGGGGUAAAAUCCGUUGAUCCAUUGAAGACCACCAGUGGCGAAGGCGGCUUGCCAGAACGCACUCGACGGUGAGGGAUGAAAGCUGGGGGAGCAAACCGGAUUAGAUACCCGGGUAGUCCCAGCUGUAAACGAUGCAGACUCGGUGAUGAAUAGGCUUCGUGCCUAUUCAGUGCCGCAGGGAAGCCGUUAAGUCUGCCGCCUGGGGAGUACGGUCGCAAGACUGGAACUUAAAGGAAUUGGCGGGGGAGCACCACAAGGGGUGAAGCCUGCGGUUCAAUUGGAGCAACGCCGGAAAUCUUACCGGGGGCGACAGCAGAAUGAAGGUCAAGCUGAAGACUUUACCAGACAAGCUGAGAGGAGGUGCAUGGCCGUCGCCAGCUCGUGCCGUGAGGUGUCCUGUUAAGUCAGGUAACGAGCGAGAUCCCUGCCUCUAGUUGCUAUCAUUGCUCUCAGGAGUAAUGGGGCUAAUUAGAGGGACUGCCGUCGCUGAGACGGAGGAAGGAGGGGGCUACGGCAGGUCAGUAUGCCCCGAAACCCUCGGGCCACACGCGGGCUGCAAUGGUAAGGACAAUAAGUUCCUAUUCCGAAAGGAGGAGGUAAUCUCCAAACCUUACCUCAGUUAUGAUUGAGGGCUGAAACUCGCCCUCAUGAAUAUGGAAUCCCUAGUAACCGCGUGUCAUCAUCGCGCGGUGAAUACGUCCCUGCUCCUUGCACACACCGCCCGUCGCUUCAUCGAAGUUGGUUCUUGGCGAGGUAGUGUCUAAUUGGCACUAUCGAACCUGGGGUCAGCAACGAGGGAG